CUGCUUGAUAGGCAACAGAAUAGUGACUGGAACUGAAGACAGAGGAAGCUGGGGUCUGCUGAAGCUUUGAGGGCCACGUGGGAGUGAUUCAUUCAGCUGCAAUUUGCACACAGCACAUGGUGAAGGAACUCCGGGUAAAGUUCUCUGCUGUGCUAUCAUCUGACCUGUAGCAUGAUGGAGGAGUCUGGAGCUGCUUGUAGUUCAUGUCCCAUGUGAAGCCACCCUUGCAAGGCAGUGCUCGGCUCAGUGUGCCCUUCUCUCCAAUCCUGGAUGAUCAGCCUGGCUCAGCUGCUGGCAAUGCGAGCAGAAAGACUUUUCCUUCUCCUGUGUAACUUAUUAUAUGAAAUAGUUUCUCGGGAGAACAGAAUUGAAGCUAGAUUUCCUCAAGCCCACGUGCCAGAAUGGUCAGCUGCCCAGUGGUCCAUGUAUUG
rnacentral:lncRNA from 1 species